UCCCAGAGUGAGCGGAGACAGCGGUUGCA
rnacentral:piRNA from 1 species